rnacentral:lncRNA from 1 species
UCUGAAGAGAAAUAGGCUGUUUGUGAGAACUUGUAGAUCGAUAAACAAUUCAAAGACCUCUGCAUGGAUUUCAACUCCAUGAAGUCCGAAGGAUGAGGGUAAGGCUUCCAUAGUUUCACAUUGGCAGCAGGGGCGGACCCACGUGGUCUUCAGGGGGUUCGGCAGCAAAAAAUUACAUUGUAUAUAUAAAGUAAAUUUUUUGUAUGUUUGUAAAUAUAUAUAUUUUGAACCCCUCAAUAACAAAGAGAAGCUAAGUCCCCCUAAAAUUAAGUUGUGCGUCCGUGGUUCAAAUCCCAGUGAAAGCGUUUUCUUUUUUUCUUUUUUAGUUUCAGUAUUUUUUUAUUUAUUUUUUAAAUUUUCAGUUCUGUUUUUCAUUUUUUAGUGUUUUUUUUACUUUAAAAAACGUGCUAAAAGUGGGGUUUUAAACCCAAAAAAAAAUCAAGGUUCUCAUUUCUAAAAGCUUAUUUACACGUUUAUACUUUUAUUUUUCGAACCCCCUGAACGAAAAUUCUGGGUCCGCCACUGAUUGGCAGUGGCUUAGAUCUUAUUCAGCUCUUACUGGGAAAGAAUAUCAUUGUUCACAAUUGAGCUGAAACACAUACUGAUGUUUCGUAUUUGGACAGAGGUACAGAUCAAUGAAAUAUUUGCCAACCACAGUUUGUUUGUUUGGAAUUGAAACGUAAUUGCUGUUGUACAUAAUGGAAUUUUCUUUACAUCAAGGGCCUUAUUUUAUAGGAAAAUUAAGGGUGUGUUUGGUAUGAAGGAAAAUGUUUUCCAUGGAAAAUGUUUUCCUGGAAAACAAGUUGAUUUUUGACUUAUUUUCUCAUGUUUGGUUGGUGAUUAGAAAAUAUUUUUCGGAAAAAAAAUUUAGUGUUUGAUUUAUGAAUGAAAAAUAUUUUUGAAAAAUAUCUUUUAUUUUUACUAGAGUAGAAAAUAAUUUUUGAAAUUGAAAACAUUUUUUAAAAACAAUUCUAUUGGUCAUGAGAUUUCUCGUUUUAAUUUCAAAAACCUAGUGCUCAUUUGAAAUUUGCAAAGUCGGUCUCAUAAAUGCCGCUAGAUAUACUACAUGUGAUUGCUUUGUUGGUGAUCCUCUUCAAUUAAGUUGACAAAUGGAGUUCUUGUAGGUCACGGUGGAUUCCUUUCAUGAUUCAAAAUUGGGUGUGCUUUUUGAUCCCAAAUCACUGAUUCAAGCACUUUCCAAUCUUUUGACGGAUGAACGAGCCUGAAUGCCACUGUGCUCGUUAAACCUUAAUUUAUCAGAAAUUUCAGAGCUUGUGGCACAGUAGUGUUCUGAAGUUUCUCCCUUUUGCACAACUUGCAACGGUAUGAAGUUUGCUAAUAGGGAGUGCAGUAAUCUUGUUUUGUUCAUACAUCUAUCGAUUUUCAUAAUAUUUUUAGUGCUGCUAUUGCAGGGUCUGAAGAGAAAUAGGCUGUUUGUGAGAACUUGUAGAUCGAUAAACAAUUCAAAGACCUCUGCAUUGAUUUCAACUCCAUGAAGUCCGAAGGAUGAGGGUAAGGCUUCCAUAGUUUCACGUUGGCAGUGGCUUAGAUCUUAUUCAGCUCUUACUGGGAAAGAAUAUCAUUGUUCACAAUUGAGCUGAAACACAUCUGAUGUUUCGUAUUUGGACAGAGGUACAGAUCAAUGAAAUUUUUGCCAACCACAGUUUGUUUGUUUGGAAUUGAAGCGUAAUUGCUGUUGUACAUAAUGGGAUUUUCUUUAUAUCAAGGGCCUUAUUUUAUAGGAAUAUUAAAUGUUCACUCUUUAGAGCAGGGUGUUGAAUAUUUUCCGUUUCCGUUAAGGGACAAACUGCUGUGAUGCCUUUCCUCUUAUUUUUUUGUUUAUUC